rnacentral:rRNA from 1 species
AACGAACGCUGGCGGCAGGCUUAACACAUGCAAGUCGAGCGCCCCGCAAGGGGAGCGGCAGACGGGUGAGUAACGCGUGGGAAUCUACCCAUCUCUACGGAAUAACGCAUGGAAACGUGUGCUAAUACCGUAUACGUCCUUCGGGAGAAAGAUUUAUCGGAGAUGGAUGAGCCCGCGUUGGAUUAGCUAGUUGGUGGGGUAAAGGCCUACCAAGGCGACGAUCCAUAGCUGGCCUGGGAGGAUGAUCAGCCACACUGGGACGGAGACACGGCCCAGACUCCUACGGGAGGCAGCAGUGGGGAAUAUUGGACAAUGGGCGCAAGCCUGAUCCAGCCAUGCCGCGUGAGUGAUGAAGGCCCUAGGGUUGUAAAGCUCUUUCACCGGUGAAGAUAAUGACGGUAACCGGAGAAGAGGCCCCGGCUAACUUCGUGCCAGCCGCCGCCGUAACAC